GUGCUUCCUUUGGCAACACAUAUACUAAAAUUGGAAUGAUACAGAGAAGAUUGGCAUGGCCCCUGCACAAGGAUGACGUGCAAAAUUCACAAAGCAUUAAAAAAAUCA
ensembl:snRNA U6 U6 spliceosomal RNA